UUGGGGUCUUAUAAAAAUCUUUGUCUCUCCCAAUGUCUUGAAGAUAUUCCUUUAUCUUUUCUUCAGUAGUUUUCCUGUUUUAGGUCUUAUAGACCUUGAUUUCUUUUGAGUUUUCAGGUUAUGCCUUUUGGUUUUAACAUAAGUUGAAUGCCUAAGGCCAUGAACCCUACAUCCACUGUGGACAGGACAAGGCUGGCAGAAGGGGGUUACCUGGCCUCCCAGCCUGGAGGACAAGGGUCUGUACUCUGGAUCUACAGUCUAUCUAACUGGGACACCAGUAGGUGCCUUUCUUGUUCAGAUGCAAGAGCUUUCCGGAGCAACAAGUCAGAUGACUGUGAAACAGUGGUCAGCUGCACUGCAAUUUGUUGCCAAGAUGACAAAGGACAGAAAGUACAAACAGGACAACGUAGGAGGCCUGGAUGUGCUUCUACAGCAACCCUGGAGAAAAGUUCGAGAACACACUUUUUUUUUUUUUUUUUUUUUUUUUUUACAGCAUACUAUGAAAUUAAAUCCCCAGGCUCUGUCACUGUACUCGACCAGCAGGGAGGCCAAAGAUGCUCAGAGAUGAGAGUGAUGAUUCCCAGAGUCCCGGUUCAUCAGAGAAGAAAUUAGCAUCUGUAUGCUCCAGUACAAAAAUACUGGUACCUCUUUCUCAUACGUAAAUCAACUCUGU